UCCAGUGGCGAACGGGUGAGUAACACGUGGGUGAUCUGCCCUGUACUUCGGGAUAAGCUUGGGAAACUGGGUCUAAUACCGGAUAGGAGCCACAUGUUGAGGUGUGGUU
rnacentral:rRNA from 1 species